UGGUGUCAAGCUGGAAAUGGUGCUCCGCAU
rnacentral:piRNA from 1 species